rnacentral:rRNA from 1 species
CCUCCGGGCGGCAGCAGUGAGGAAUAUUGGUCAAUGGGCGCGAGCCUGAACCAGCCAAGUAGCGUGAGGGAAGACGGUCCUAUGGAUUGUAAACCUCUUUUAUCGAGGAGCAAAAGAAGCCACGCGUGGCGUUCCGAGAGUACCCGAUGAAUAAGCAUCGGCUAACUCCGUGCCAGCAGCCGCGGUAAUCCGGAGGAUGCGAGCGUUAUCCGGAUUUAUUGGGUUUAAAGGGUGCGCAGGAGGAAGAUAAAGUCAGCGGUAAAAUUUUGAGGCUCAACCGUUUCGAGCCGUUGAAAAUGGUUGUCUUGAGUGAGUGAGAAGUAUGCGGAAUGCGUGGUGUAGCGGUGAAAUGCAUAGAUAUCACGCAGAACUCCGAUUGCGAAGGCAGCAUACCGGCGUUCAACUGACGUUGAUGCACGAAAGUGUGGGUAUCGAACAGGAUUAGAUACCCUUGUAGUC